GGUAAACGCUGCAUCGUAGAAACGAGGAAGAAGAGCUAGAACUCGCGAGGCACGCGGUUUAACCUGCUGGCUCGUGAGCGAAAAAGAACACGACGGCAUCGCCGAAGACAGGAACGGAACCAGAACCAGAGUACGGUGAGCCGGAAAUGCACCACAGUUCUUCGGUUUUCCUGGUUCCACUUGUAACCCACCUGUCCUAGGAGAGACGACAGGCCUUGCAAGGGAAUGACCACCCGUUCACCAUUCUCCCAUCCGAUGCGGCUGCCUCUCAUUGGCCGACCGCUGACCACAGGCCAUCCACGGGCAGCUCGGCGUGCUGCCUCGCCACGACUCGCUCAUUCGGCAGUCUUUCAAAUUGAAUACCAGGCAAUCACUGAUGGAUUUCCAACUCACGGAGACGCGCCUGUGUCCCGAGCAGCAGGCUCUGUUCACGCGCAUCGGGGCUCGUCCUGCUUUCACUGCCGGUGGUAAUCACGACAGUGCCGCUCAAGUGCACCAGAAG